CCUACGGGGAGCUGCAGUGGGGAAUAUUGGACAAUGGGCGAAAGCCUGAUCCAGCCAUGCCGCGUGUGUGAAGAAGGCCUUCGGGUUGUAAAGCACUUUCAGUGGGGAAGAAAGCCUUGGGGCUAAUACCCUCGAGGAAGGACAUCACCCACAGAAGAAGCACCGGCUAACUCCGUGCCAGCAGCCGCGGUAAUACGGAGGGUGCGAGCGUUAAUCGGAAUUACUGGGCGUAAAGCGCGCGUAGGCGGUCUGAUAAGCCGGUUGUGAAAGCCCCGGGCUCAACCUGGGAACGGCAUCCGGAACUGUCAGGCUAGAGUGCAGGAGAGGAAGGUAGAAUUCCCGGUGUAGCGGUGAGAUGCGUAGAGAUCGGGAGGAAUACCAGUGGCGAAGGCGGCCUUCUGGACUGACACUGACGCUGAGGUGCGAAAGCGUGGGUAGCAAACAGGAUUAGAUACCCCAGUAGUC
rnacentral:rRNA from 1 species